GAAGCCGGAAUUGCUAGUAAUGGCAGGUCAGCAUACUGCCGUGAAUACGUUCCCGGGCCUUGUACACACCGCCCGUCACACCAUGAGAGUUGGGAAUACCCGAAGCCUGUGAGCUAACUUUUAGAGGCAGCAGUCGAAGGUAGAAUCAAUGAUUGGGGUGAAGUCGUAACAAGGUACC
rnacentral:rRNA from 1 species